CCCUGGGUGGCUUAGUCAGUUAAGCCUCUGACUUCAGCUCAGGUCAUGAUCUCAUUGUUCGUGGGUUCGAGCCCUGCAUCGGGGU
rnacentral:tRNA from 1 species